CUUGCACACCUGGGCUCUGGAGCCAUGGUCUCCGCGGCUUGAGUUGGGGCAGAUGGGAGGACGAAGGAGUAGGGGGCAAGUCAAGCGUCCCCCUCUCCAACUCUCCCCCAUCGUGGACCUCUGGAGCCCUGAAGCAGCUUGCAGAGAGUCUCAGCGUGGCUGCAAGGGUGUGCCACCUGGGAAGCCCCGCCCAGUUGGGCCUUGACCCCUGCCGAGUCCUUGGGGAGCCUGGGCCUUGCCGGUUACACGAAGAGCAAGGGGUGUGCCCACCCCCGCCUCUGGGAAACUUGUGCUCAAGCCCUGCUGGGGUGCGUCGGGAUGGGAGGGGAGCAGACCUGCCCUUUCCCACCCCCUCUCUCCUCUGCAGCACCCACUGCUCCAACCUGACCUACCUGGCUCAGCUGACUAAAGUGUCCACAGGGGUGAGAUGCAAGUAAUUAACUAGCAGAAGCUCUGAAGCUCCCCAGAUAAUGAUCGGCCCCGCAGACACCCGCGUCAAACCCUAUCCACAGAGUUGGAAGGAGGAGGAGGAUCAGGCUCCCCAGAAUCCUGAACCCAGCAGGUGACAGACACCCAAAGUCCAGUCCAGCACCCUUCUCCAAGGGCUCUGUCCCCACUUCCAAGGCUACCAAGAGUGGCCCCUGACGAGCCCAUGGGCCACCAAACCAUGUCCGGUCUCUUCGAGGUUUGCACCUUCUCAGUGUCCCCCACUUGCCCUCCUGUCCCCACCUUCCCAUUCCCCAGACAUACUCUGAUCCCAUUCCCACUCUGCCUCCUCCAUGAAGUCACCCCUCGCUGCCUUGCCUUCUUUGUGUUUCUUUUCUGGGUUCUUUAUCGUCUGCAUCCUUAUUUCGGCAUUUGGGGCUGUUGUGUGUCAUCCGCUGGCUUUUUAAUUCCUAUAGGCUGAAGGGUACGUUUUACAUGCCCACAGAGUGGUGGUGCUGAGAGCAGACCGAAGGUGCAUUCCGGUCCCACCCGCUACUGUGUGACCUUGGGCAAGGAACUUCUCUGUGCCUCGUUGAUAAAGAGGCUACUCAUGCCCACUUGAGAGGUUCCUGGAAGAAUUAAAUGGAACGCUCUUUGCAAAGAACCCAGCCUGGUGUCUUGUGCUCAGUAGGGACUCCACACAUGCCAGCUAUUAUUCCAGUAUGACAGAUCUCCAUAUCUGACAUUGCACCAGGCAUUCAGUAGGAGCCCAACUCAGAUCACCACUGCAGGACUGCAAAAGCACAAGGCUGAUCUCUCAUUUCCUCAGAGCCUGAGCCAGCAAAGAGACAACAGGUCAAGUUCACAGAGAAGUGUAGAAAUUGACCUUGGACCCCUCUCAAGGGGCGGAGAGAAACUUUCUCACAAAAAUGUUUGCUAUUCCUCCCAUCCUUUUCCUCACAGACAUCCCCAAAGCAAGAGCAGUCUCUGGGGAACCCUCUCCUUCAAAGACAGAUCCCAUGUGACCUGUUGCAGUGACUGAGGCUCUAUCGAAGACUGGUGUGGUCACCAUGACCCCUCCCUUACUGACCUUCAGGCCUCCAGGUCCUGGACCCAACCAUUUUACAUACAUAUGUCUCCUGUCAUCGUCACAAAAACCUCAUUCUACAGGUGAGGAGACUGAGGAUUGGCAAGGUUAAGAAACUUGCUCAAGGUCACACAGCUGGUGAGUAGCAGAACCAAGAUGUCCACUCAGUUUGACCUCUACCAGUCCAUGCUCCUGCCUCUGGGCCACUCCCUUUUGAAGUGAGGCAGUCACUGGCUUAGAAUCUGGGCCAAGUGAUAGACCCUCCUGCUGGAACCUCAGUCUCAUCCCUUCCUAGACAGAGGGAGGAACGGCCACCCUCCCACUGCCCAGGUGAGGGCUUUUGGAUGGGGGCAGGAAGAGAGUAAAGGGUAAAAAAAAAAAAAAAAAAAAAAAAAAAAAACUCAUUUAUGGCUAACCAGAUUUCUGUCUUGCAGCAAUUCAUAUCCAUUUCCCCUAAUUUAGGCAACUCUGAAUAUGAGAAAAGCGUUCAGCCGUUUGAAGAAUGCUAUUCAACUCAUGACAAAGAACAAUUCUUUUGAAUCUGUGAGAAUUUUCUGGAAGUCACAUGUCAUUUUCACUUUCACCUAUUAAAAUUGAAGCUUACAUUCAGCUUUUUAAAAAAAACUCCUCAGUUUGCAGAGGCAGCCAGCAGCCAGUGGCGCAGGCCGGGUCUCGGGCCCUUGCCAGAGGUCAUCACUCUCUGGAAGCACCGACCAGCUCAGCAGACCACAGCCUUGGGCUCAGACAUGAACUGACCUUGAAAGAAAGAAAGACCUGCACAAAGAUCAUAAUGAACCAACAGAAAAUAUUCAACAUCCGUCAUUAUCUCCACUUACGUGGAGCUUGGGAGCAGGAUGUGGCACAUUCCAAGAGCUGCUUUAGGGAAAACCAAGCCACGAGGAGAUGGCGUUCCUGGGCUGGACGGGAGCCUGAGGCCUGGAUGGGGCCUGCUUUCCGCACAUCUGCUUCCCUCAUAAGGGAUCCCUGACUCCCAGGCUCUGCCAGGCGGAAAGCAAACCAGCCCUGGGCUAGGGGCCAGAGCAAGGACUUACCUGGAAGAGACAUCUGCUAAGCAAUUUGACCAAAUGCAAACGCUGCUAGUUUAAUGAUCAUAAUUUCCUACAGCAGAUUCCCCCAGCACCUCCGCUAUCGUGUUAGUGGAAUCAUUUUUCAAUUUACUAGGUACAGAGGAGACCCAGUGCACAGGGCCAGGCCAAGGGUGUGUGUGCAUGUGCGUGUGUGUGUGUGUGUGUGUGAAAAAUGCCUGCAUUUUUCAGGAGUGAGGAUAUUUGCAUAACACAGAUAUCUUUGCAGAUACCAGACAAACAGGAAGUUUCAGAACUGAUGCCAUUUCCUUUCACUGUGAAUCAGCAACCUCUCUCUUCUCACACAGAAAUGGGGAAAAUCACAGGGUCCAGCCCUGGAUCAUGAAGUGCAAGAGAAGAGCACGAAAGCAUCAGAAGUCACCUUCUCUGAUGGAGUGCUUCUCUGGGCGCCCACCUGCACUCCUCAGGCCAUCCCCUUCCAGCUACCCAGCUUCCUGGAGCACUUCAAGAUAUGUUUGGAUGCCCACCCUAAACACAUUAGCAAAACAGUCUUCAUCCACACAACCUAUGUUAUACCAGUGCUUGGGAUGGGGCCCAACCGGCUCUAGGGGGACCUCCCUCGUCCUUGUUCCCGGCCCCAGGACUGUAUCCCAGAGGAGCUCUGUGAAGUAACACGCCCUGGAUGUGGCACCAGAAAACCUGGGCUCAGAUCCCUGCUCCAACCAGAGAGGCCCUGGGCAAGCCACUUUCCCCUACGAGCCUCAGUUUCCCUAUCAGUUACAUGGGACUGAUAGUGGCUCCCUGCACGUUUGGGGCUAAUAAUAAUACAAGCGCAAGGCAAGAAAUAUAAGGCGGCAAAUAAAAGCACAGGAUUUGGAGUCGGAUAUCUGAGUUCAAAACCCAGCUCCAGUGUGUACUUGGCCGUGAUGCUUGGGGCAAAUUGCCUAACUUUGCCAAAUGUUAAUUUGCCCAGUUAUAAAAUGGAGGUAACGACAGUCUGUUGAGAGGAUUCAGAGAUAUGACCACCUUGCACGGGGCAGAGUCUGGCUCACAGGAAAUUCUCAACAACACGAACCAGUUUUCCUGCCGGCCCGGCCCCCCCGCCCCCCCCCCCCCCCCCCCCCCGGCAGCACUCCUCCUUCCUCCAGCGCCUCCAGGUGCUGUAAGAUCCUGGAGGUGGAGACCACUGCCUGCCCCGCUGGUGAGGGUCCAGCACCUGGCUUAGCCCGUAAUAAAUCAGCUGAAUGAAUGAAUGGAUGCUCCUGGUGCAUAGCAGGUGCUGAGGAAAUCUAUCUGUAUAAAAUAAAUUUAUACGAAAGCCACAGACCAACUCCCGCCCUCUCCUUUUUUGAAAUUCCUAAAAGGGGGGCAGUAGAGAACAGUGAUGACAAACAUCCGGGGCUUAGACAGCAGUCAGGUCUGCCGUGUCCUUUAAUUUUCCACUCUGAACCUAAUAAGCAGGUAGAGGAAUGUGUCAGGUACGUCCCAGCUUCACGACCCGGGAAGAUGAUUCUAAAACUUGACUUUCUUUUCAAGAUUACGGGCCUUGCGUCUGGUAUCCCUCUUGCCCCAUUUCUCUUGGUUUCCUCCUUAGGUCUAAUGGCCUUUUCUUGUCGAAGAGCUGGUGCCUCUGAAGUCCAGCCAGCUCCCCGUCCCCAGCCUCUUGGAGGACAGCGAGCCACACCCCACUGACUUACCAGCCUGCAGGGGUGCAGGCGUGCGACAGGCUGGUGUCUGCAGGAGGACAGCACGCUCACGCCAACAUUUGCUCUGGGGCACGGCCGUUCAGCUCUCGCCUCGUGCCCUCUGUGCCAGGGUAGUGCUCACUGGCCACUCCUCCGAGAGCGAGUCCAGGAUGCCGCGGACGCACAGCCUGAGUGCCCGGGUCUGGAGUCAGACAACCUGGCUUUGCACGCAGACUCUGCAUGGACAAGCCGUCUGAUCUGCUACCUCUCUCAACCUCAGUUUCCUAAUCUGUACAACGGAGACCAGUGCUAGAGCACUGGGUGAUGCAACAUUUAAUAGCUAGCUUUGGCGCCAACCUAUGAAGUGAACCCCAGCCAGUACCAGGUUAUACCUGCUAAAUAUUAGCUCUGCUCAUUUCUACUGCAGAGGUGGGUAUGGCUCCAGGCACACUGUAAACACUCUAAGCACUAGCCACUACUUUGACUACUUUUAAGUUUUGCUCGUGUCACGUAGUUCCCAGUGGAGGGACGUUCGGAGGAGGGAUGGCCCUGGAGAGGCCCAGUCUUUGCCAUCUCCCAGGUUGACUAAGGCCCUCCUGCCUUCCAUUGCUCGCCAGAACCUUACGGGACUGCUGGGGAUGGGACAGGACCUUGGGAUGUUGUCUGCCUAAUGUGAGUCACGGUGCCUCCCCGUGGUGCCCAUGGCAGGAGUUCUUUUCCCCAUGAACACUCUUUGCGAAUCUUUAUUACAGCAACAAAAGAGCCAGAUAGCUGGUGGUCCAGUCCCGGGAUGAGCACUGCAUGUCGUAUGUAAGCCAAUCUGACAAUAAAUUAUAUU